UCUUGUGCAAUAAACGAAAGUAUGACACAGAGAGGACACAUUUAAUUGAGCCCGUCAAAUUAAGUGCCAGCCGACGCGGUUAAACUUAAGGGCUGGUCUUUAUAAGUAAAAAGGCGUAAAGGAUGUGUAGGUUAAGAAACGAUCCAAGUAGGUAAAUGGAAUUUUUCUGGAGCGGUAGAAUGUGAGGAUAGAAAAUAGAACCCCUAAGGUAAAAACUAUUUACUACAAGGUAGGCUGAAACAUGAGAGUGUGGGGAGCAAACAGGAUUAGAGACCCUGGUAGUCCACACUGUGAACUUUGAAGAUGAUGCUUAGCAGACCCGAAAGGUAAAAUCUUCCGCCUGAGUAGUACGAUCGCAAGAUUAAAAUUCAAAAACUUUGGCUGUUCACUAUUUCGAUUAGAGGAGCGUGUAGUUUAAUUCGAUGGUCCGCGUGUUACCUUACCCCAACUUGAAUCUGUGACCGGUAUUGCAUGGCCGUCGUAAGUUCGUGUAUUAAGCUAGAAGGGACCCAACCCGGGCAUUUGCCCGGAGGAAGUCAGGUCUUAUGAUCCGAAUGUUGGGGGAUUUUAUGCGCUACAUUUUCUUAUAUAAUGAGAAACCUGAAAGGUGAGUCUCUAAAGUAAGAGUUCGGAAGGUCGCUGUAAGACGACUGGAAGUUGGAUUUAAUAGUAAUCGGAAAGUAGGGCGUUCCGGUGAAUUGGUACAAGUGUUAGCACAAAUUGCCCGUCACCUUUACUUAGAAUGGUUAUUCGGAC
rnacentral:rRNA from 1 species